GGCUGCGCGUGCUAUACUGCAGUCGACGCUUCUUUUUCCCCGGAGCUUGCUCCACCGGAAAAAGAGGAGUGGCGAACGGGUGAGUAACACGUGGGUAACCUGCCCAUCAGAAGGGGAUAACACUUGGAAACAGGUGCUAAUACCGUAUAACAAUCGAAACCGCAUGGUUUUGAUUUGAAAGGCGCUUUCGGGUGUCGCUGAUGGAUGGACCCGCGGUGCAUUAGCUAGUUGGUGAGGUAACGGCUCACCAAGGCCACGAUGCAUAGCCGACCUGAGAGGGUGAUCGGCCACAUUGGGACUGAGACACGGCCCAAACUCCUACGGGAGGCAGCAGUAGGGAAUCUUCGGCAAUGGACGAAAGUCUGACCGAGCAACGCCGCGUGAGUGAAGAAGGUUUUCGGAUCGUAAAACUCUGUUGUUAGAGAAGAACAAGGAUGAGAGUAACUGUUCAUCCCUUGACGGUAUCUAACCAGAAAGCCACGGCUAACUACGUGCCAGCAGCCGCGGUAAUACGUAGGUGGCAAGCGUUGUCCGGAUUUAUUGGGCGUAAAGCGAGCGCAGGCGGUUUCUUAAGUCUGAUGUGAAAGCCCCCGGCUCAAC
rnacentral:rRNA from 1 species